CUUUGGUUGAAAUUAACUUACCCUCGCGUUAUUUUUGUGCCGAGAGUAAAUUGUCAAUAUUCGGCUUAGUUGUUUGGAGACAACAGAAAAUAAACACAUAUUUUUUUAUAUAGUUAUGUGUUAUCAAUUAUGAAGGGUAGUUAAAAUUAUGAGACGUACUCUGCAUAACCACCAGCGUAGCCACCUGUGCAAGUGCAGUCAUAACAAUGAGUAUCGAUUGGUAUAAAUAGAGCUGAGAGUAAAAACUAAAAACCUUCUUGUUCAAGCCUUGGCAUAUUCCUCUACCUUCAAUACCUUGAGACUGACGAUAAUCAAGAAUAAAGGCAUUGGUGACGUCACACGAGGGGAUUAUACCUCCGACGUAUAUGUAGAAAUUAAAAACAGUCCAGAGACGAAACCUCUCAGCAUCCCAUGGAUUCACCGUGCGGGUGCCGGGUCCAUCGCGUUGCAGGGAGAGGAGUUUGAAUAUAAUUACGAUCAAGGAAAAACAAACUGGAUGGCCUGUUUUAAAGCAACUGAAUUCUAAUGAGAACAAAGUUGGACAGUGAGUGCGACGGAUAUUAAACUGUUGUAAUUAUUGUUGCCUGGUGUACAAUGAUAACGAUGGAUGCCACGAAAGGGAAUGUCUUAUAUUGUACUAUGUUCAUUGAUAAAUGGGCUUUAUAUAUAAAUUAUUAAAAAUAAAGUAAUUGUUGAAUUCUAAAUGCUUGUUUAGUUAAUAAUUAUAUAAGGCGGCAACCGGAGGUUCCAGGAAAACUACGAAACUUACUUAUAUGUAUAUUAUAAUAAGAAUUACAUAUUAAAACUUAUAACCUAUACCUAAGACUAUAAUAUUGC